GAUGAACGCUGGCGGCGUGCCUAAUACAUGCAAGUCGAGCGAACAGACGAGGAGCUUGCUCCUUGGACGUUAGCGGCGGACGGGUGAGUAACACGUAUAUAACCUACCUAUAAUACUGGGAUAACUUCGGGAAACCGGAGCUAAUACCGGAUAAUAUUUCGAACCGCAUGGUUCGAUAGUGAAAGAUGGCUUUGCUAUCACUUAUAGAUGGACCUGCGCCGUAUUAGCUAGUUGGUAAGUUAACGGCUUACCAAGGCAACGAUACGUAGCCGACCUGAGAGGGUGAUCGGCCACACUGGAACUGAGACACGGUCCAGACUCCUACGGGAGGCAGCAGUAGGGAAUCUUCGGCAAUGGGCGAAAGCCUGACGGAGUAACGCCGCGUGAGUGAUGAAGGUCUUCGGAUCGUAAAACUCUGUUAUUAGGGAAGAACAAACGUGUAAGUAACUGUGCACGUCUUGACGGUACCUAAUCAGAAAGCAACGGCUAACUACGUG
rnacentral:rRNA from 1 species